UCAUACAUAGAUUUUCAUCCCCCCCGCCCCAUUAUCUUGUCUUGGAACCGCCCCUGUCAGUAACAAUAUUAAAAGAAUUGAUACCGGGAAUGUCACUGUUGUAAGUUGGAAAUUGGAAGAUGUAAUACAUAAAGUUAAUUAAUAUCUGUAACAUGGUCGGACCGUAGUAAAAAAUUGGUCUCUGCGAUCACUGGUAAAGGCCCAAAAAUUACACAAAUAUCAUUAUACAGCAUAUAUUUCUCAAUAACAAUAGCUUAGACAAUCAUCAUCAUUUAGAUUUUGAAUGGAGCGAAGAAAGUUAUGGUUUACAAAGAUUUUUUUUUUUUUAUAUGUACUUUUUCAUAAUGUAUAUAUUGUUAACAAAACAUCACUAUAAAUAAAAAGUCCGCGUAACGAAAACUUGCCGGUGAAUGGCGCGACUCUAGCGGCAAUUUGCAAUCUGUUCGGUGGUCAUCAUAAAUGUAAAACUAAUUGCCCUGUUUUUUUUACAUUUAUUUGUUCACGUGGUAUAUUAUAUUAAUUUAUUAUUAUACGAAUCAUGAAAGAAAUUGUUUAAAAAAUGAUCAGUAUAAACAUUAUUUCAAUGCAUAAUAUAUUAUAUAUAAAAUUUAUUGAUUGUUAAUAAUAAUUGCAAUAAAUUUAUUCAAACACAAGAAAAAAUACACAAAUAUUCACGAAACCGAUUUAAAAAACAUAAUGUACAACACACC